GCCUUCGUGGUGUAAUGGCUAACACACUCGGCGCAUAGUCAAGAGAUUCGAGGUUCGAGUCCCGGCGAGAGCA
rnacentral:tRNA from 1 species